rnacentral:ncRNA from 2 species
UUAAUCGGAGGGAAUGGGACUUCCCUGUUAUAAACCGCUAAUCAAGUAGCUGAUAGUUCCUGUUUGUAG